AUUCCAAGAAAGAGGCAACCAGUCUCCCUAAUGCAAAGCAGAGCAGUUCUGCAGCUUGAGAGGACAAGCUUCCAUUGUUGAGGGGACCCCUGAUAUUGGAAACUGGAUCCAGGUGCAGCUCCUCCCAAAGUAUAUAAUGGUCUCUCUGUAAACCAGUACCCAUCUGAGAUAGCCAGAUGGGCAAGGAACCAGCCACCAGCACUAUAUAGCAGAGAUGGACUAGUAGGGGACCUCAGAGCUCCUGUUCCCUAAGAAAGAGAAAUAAUCAGAACCAGGAAGAGUCCACUUAUUGACUCAAAUUCCAUUUGGAAGUGGAGCUCUCAGCUGCUUGGCCAGCAGCUCCCCAUUUUGUGAACAGAAUAUUCACCACCCCCACUCAGCAGCCAAGGAUGGGACAUGGAACGAAAGCUUCAUCAAAAGAAAAAACCAGCUGAUCAAUACCUUACGCCAUUUCCCAGAUAGCUCAGCUUUGUCCCAUAAAAUCCAGGCCCUAGUGAAAACAUGCCCCCACCCAAAGAGCGUCUCUCGGCGUCUUGCUUUUCCAUGCUCCCUUGGCAUUGCUUUGGGCUCUCAGAACACUCCUAGAAACACAACCCAUUCCUUCCCCAUCCACACUCACACACUGGCUUCUGUUUCAGCAAAGCAGGUGGAGAAUUUUGGCUGCAACCAGCCAAGCCAUAUAAAGUGUUGAGGGUGAGUCUGAUCCUUGCUCUCUCAUCAGGAAGAGCAUGCCAGCUAACGUGGUUUGAGUAUAUCAGGCCAUCAGAGCCAGUGUCUGGCUCAAGCUUGAUUGAACUCCUCAAGACAGGUUUCCUCUCUAGAAUACUGCUCAGAACCCUGGCUGCCUGGAGACCAUCAAGCAAAGAUCUAAAUGUUUCUAGAGAAAGAGUCCUUUCAGCCUGUAGAGUCAAGAAAGGCUGCUCUGCUGUCAUGAGUUCCACUGAUCUCCCUGUCACCCCCCACCUGCUCCCAGUGACCUUCUAAAAAUGAAAAGUUUUCAUGACACUGGGAGGCUCUCAGCUGAGGACAUCACUGUGCUUUACAUACCCUCGUUGUCCCAGCACCCUGUGAGCUCAGUAAGCAUGAGCCCAUUUUACACAUGGGGAAGGGGGCUCUGUGCCUCCAUUUCCCUAAGGGUCGGACAAUGGCAGUGCUGGGAGUACAAUGGAAAAGUCCUGAUUUCCACCUGUGCAGUCCCACCACUGUGAAUGUCCCACAUUUUUUUUCCUCCAGAAACUAGACAGGAGAC